rnacentral:rRNA from 1 species
GGACUGCAGCCUGCAACCCGGCCUGCACGAAGUCGGAAUUGCUAGUAAUCGCGGAUCAGCAUGCCGCGGUGAAUACGUUCCCGGGCCUUGUACACACCGCCCGUCACACCAUGAGAGUCGGGAACACCCGAAGUCCGUAGUCUAACCGCAAGGAGGACGCGGCCGAAGGUGGGCUUGAUAAUUGGGGUGAAGUCGUAACAAGGUAAC